AUUGAACGCUGGCGGCAGGCCUAACACAUGCAAGUCGAACGUGUGGCGGACGGGUGAGUAACGUCUGGGAAACUGCCUGAUGGAGGGGGAUAACUACUGGAAACGGUAGCUAAUACCGCAUACCAUCGGAUGUGCCCAGAUCGGAUAAGCUAGCAGGUGGGGUAAAGGCUCACCUAGGCGACGAUCCCUAGCUGGUCUGAGAGGAUGACCAGCCCCCCUGGAACGGAGACACGGUCCAGACUCCUACGUGAUGCAGCAGUGGGGAAUAUUGCACAGGUGGCGCAAGCCUGAUGCAGCCAUGCCGCGUGUAUGAAGAAGGCCUUAGGGUUGUAAAGUACUUUCAGCGAGGAGGCGUUACCCGCAGAAGAAGCACCGGCUAACUCCGUGGCAGCAGCCGCGGUAAUAC
rnacentral:rRNA from 1 species